AGUGAACGCUGGCGGUAGGCCUAACACAUGCAAGUCGAACGGCAGCACAGGAGAGCUUGCUCUCUGGGUGGCGAGUGGCGGACGGGUGAGGAAUACAUCGGAAUCUACUUUUUCGUGGGGGAUAACGUAGGGAAACUUACGCUAAUACCGCAUACGACCUACGGGUGAAAGCAGGGGAUCUUCGGACCUUGCGCGACUGGAUGAGCCGAUGUCGGAUUAGCUAGUUGGCGGGGUAAAGGCCCGCCAAGGCGACGAUCCGUAGCUGGUCUGAGAGGAUGAUCAGCCACACUGGAACUGAGACACGGUCCAGACUCCUACGGGAGGCAGCAGUGGGGAAUAUUGGACAAUGGGCGCAAGCCUGAUCCAGCCAUACCGCGUGGGUGAAGAAGGCCUUCGGGUUGUAAAGCCCUUUUGUUGGGAAAGAAAUCCAGCUGGUUAAUACCCGGUUGGGAUGACGGUACCCAAAGAAUAAGCACCGGCUAACUUCGUGCCAGCCGCCGCUGUAA
rnacentral:rRNA from 1 species